ACCUUUCAGAACCACUGACACGCCGCCGGCAGCACGAUGAUGAUGUCACUGACUCUACUGCUGGCCACCCUGGGGCUCCUUGUUCAGGGUUCAUCAGGACAAAUCACUGUGACUCAGUCUCCUGGAUCUCAGUCUGUUGUUCCAGGACAGACUGUCUCCAUCAGAUGUAAAACCAGUUCAUAUGUUAGUAGCUGGCUCAACUGGUACCUUCAGAAACCUGGAGAAGCUCCUAAACUCCUGAUUUAUUGGGCUACAAACCUUCAGCCUGGAGUUUCAGAUCGUUUUAGUGGAAGUGGAUCUGGGACUGACUUCACUCUGACCAUCAGUGGAGUUCAGGCUGAAGAUUCAGGAGUUUAUUACUGUCAGCAGGGUAAAGGCUACCCGUUCACACAGUGAUACAACAUCGUACAAAAACCUCCCUCAGCUGAAGAGGAACUGAUCUGACUCAACAGCUGCACUCAAAGUAAAACAACAGAGGUUUUAAUAAUUUAAUUUGAACAUUUUAAC